GCAAGUCGAGGGGUAACAGGGUGCUUGCACCGCUGACGACCGGCGCACGGGUGCGUAACGCGUAUACAAUCUACCUUGUACUAGGGGAUAGCCUUUAGAAAUGAAGAUUAAUAUCCUAUAGUCUAUUUGAGUGGCAUCAUUUAAGUAGUAAAGGUUACGGUACAAGAUGAGUAUGCGUCCUAUUAGUUAGUUGGUAAGGUAACGGCUCACCAUGGCUACGAUAGGUAGGGGUCCUGAGAGGGAGAUC
rnacentral:rRNA from 1 species